CUGCGCAUGCGCGUAAAGAGAGCACGUUGUUGAACUCAGAAGGACUUAAAAUUUCGAUAAAAACUGCUUGGGGCUAACAGAAUCAGUGUACACACCAUGUUACUUCUGAGUUUAAUAAUAGAACCCAGCAGCUCCCAGCUGCUGCCUCUAGAGAGUUCUUCUCCAUCCAGCUUCAUGCUCUCUUCAGGGCUCUCCAUCUCCUGCAGCUGGACUCUGAAGAAACUCUCCAAAGAUGUUUUUGUUUGAAUAGUUUUUUAUGAACUUGGUUAGUUGAUUCAGGACUCAGAUCAGCAGCUUUAAGAAGAUGACGGCGCGGGUUCUGGAAGGCUCUGUCUGAAGCUCUUCAGUCCUGGAGAUGUUUUCAGAAGAACCCGAUCCUCCUCCUCUUCCUCGUCUUGAUCAGAGAAGGUUCUUCUUCCUGUUGGUUCUGCUGACAGGAAGAACCGGAUCUCUGCUCCUCCAUCACUGCUGACUCAGCAAAUCCUUUACCGGACCAUCAGAACUUCAUCAGAGGAGAAGCUCCCAGCAGAACCCACUCUGAGCUCUAGUCUCUGUGAACGGCUUCCCUCAGACGGAGCUCCAGGACCACCAGACCCAGAAACUGGUUCCCCUCCAGAACCAAAGACCAGAAGAGCCUGAAGGAUCAGUUUCUAUGAACCCAAACACGACUGGUUCUGGAGAUGUUCAGCUGUCCCGUCUGUCCUUAUGAAAUAUCUGACAAACGACUUUAACCUUCUGAGCAGAACUGUUGGAGCAGAAAUCUCUUCUGGUUCUGGUUCUGGUUCCACCACAGCAGGGAUCCAGUUCAGAUCUAGCAGGUUCUUGUGGAGGAAACGUUUCAUAUCCGGUCCGGUUCCUGAAAGAAUAAAAUGCAUAUUUUUAAAAACA